rnacentral:rRNA from 1 species
UACGUAGGGGGGCGAGCGUUGUCCGGAUUCAUUGGGCGUAAAGCGCGCGUAGGCGGUGUGUCGCGUCGGCCGUGAAAAACCUGGGGCUCAACUCUGGGCGUGCGGUCGAUACGGGCAUCACUUGAGUUCGGCAGGGGAGACUGGAAUUCCUGGUGUAGCGGUGAAAUGCGCAGAUAUCAGGAGGAACACCGGUGGCGAAGGCGGGUCUCUGGGCCGAUACUGACGCUGAGGAGCGAAAGCAUGGGUAGCGAACAGG